rnacentral:ncRNA from 1 species
AACAGAUUUGGUCCUAGUCCUACAAUUGAUUACCCCUAGAAUGAUACAUGCCAGCCCCCAGCAAAACAGUGAGUAAACACACAACUCUCCUUCAAAGUAGAGAGCAAAACCCCAAAGCAUCAGACACCACCUAAAAAAGUCCCAGACGCUUAGCCAACCACCCCUGCAGUACUUAACAUUAUACAAUAAGUAAAAACUUGAUACAGCCAUAGGAUAUCACGACCGGUAAAUUAUGUGCCAGCCACCGCGGUUAUACAUAAGGUCACAAUCAAAACCUCACGGUAAAAAGGUGGCAAAGUUUACAACAAAAAUCAGGGUAAACUCCAACUCUAGCAGUAAUAAGCUUACAGAACAAUAAUAACAAAAGUAAAAACAACCCUGAAAAAACAAACCCACUAAAGCUCAAAAAUAAACUGGGAUUAGAUACCCCACUAUACGAGCCCUAAAAACCCCCACCAGAAAACUACAAACUAACAUUUAAAACUCAAAGGACUUGGCGGUUUUUUAGACCUUCCUGGAGGAGCUUGCUACCUAACCGAUAACCCACGAAAAACCUCACCAGCUUUCGAAAAUCCAGCAUGUAUACCAUCGUCGUCAGUCCACCUCUCAAGAGAAGUAUACUAAACGAAACAACUUCACAACGUCAGAUCGAGGUGCAGUCAAUAAGCUGGGGGUAAGUGAGCUACAAUAUUAACACAACACAAAACCAAUUAUGGAUAGUAUAGUGAAAUUUAUACCUGAAACAGGAUUCAGCAGUAAUACCCAAAAGAAAAUGGAUAUGAAACAACCAGCUCUAAAAUGCGCACACAUCGCCCGUCACUCUCCUCGCUAGAGGAGAAAAGUCGUAACAAAGUAGGCGUAUUGGAAAAUGUGCCUGGGAUUAC